CUUCAUUCUCCCCCAGGGGUUUCUCAUGUUUUGUUGUUUAGGUUUUGUUGUUGAUACUUUUGCUAGGCUGAAAAAUGGCCCUUCCAAAGAUAUCAUAUCUUAAUCCCUAGAACCUGUAAAAUGCUGCCUUCUUUGGGAAAAGGGUCUUCGCAGAUGUGAUUAAGACUAUUUUGAUGGGGGGGGGCGGUUAGCCUGGAUUAUCCAGGUCCCUAAAUGCAAUCACGUGUAUCUUUACAAGAGGGAGGCAGAAGAAUGAACAAACUGAGAAAGCAGUCUGAAGAUGGAACAGAGAGACAUUUGUAGAUGUUGACCUUGGAGAUUGCAGUCAUGUCCCUCCCUGCAAGGCGAGGGAUGCCUGCAGUUAUCGGAAGCUGGAAGAGUUUUCCAGGUUUGAUUUGGGGACUGGGAGACAGCAGCCUAAACUUGAUCAUCCUUUUGGCAAUUACAGGAUGCUGGAAUCGCUCCUUGAGAAGGCUGGACUUUUACAAAGGCUCUGUCAUCCAUGGAUGUCUGCCCAGGUCAGCAAUCUCUUGGUUUUCCUCUGACCGUGACGCAGAGAGGCGCUCUGGGUGGUUCUUCAGCUCCUGCUGGUGCCUCAGUUCAUACUGUCAUCUGUCUGCCUAAUACCUGAUGCUGAGGUGGGUGACUGGGUGACAGUCAUCCCGGGUCCCUUGGCCUGGAUCUCUGGAUCCAGGAUCCCACAACCCCCACAGAGGUACUUCUGUUUGUGGAUAGAUGCUGAAUUUAGCUGUUAGAAGGGGAGACCAAAAGGAGAGAUAUUUUUAUGCUGCUAUGACACUGAUGUCACUUGCCCUGUAAUGCAAUCUUUAAAUAACUGUCUACUUUCCAAGCCAGAGGGCUGCCUAGAGCUGGAGCAAGCGGAUGUGGGGAGAGAAGGUGGAAUGAGGAUCCGUGACAGCACGGCUGUAACCCAGUCUUUGCUUUUUGAUGGUGUCUUAGUCAGCUUGGGCUGCCAUAACCAGACACUAUAGACUGAGCGGCUUAAGUGAGGGAAAUUUAUUUUUGCACACCUCCAGAGGCUGGCGUCCUAGAUCAUGGUGCCAGCGUGCUGGGUUGUGGUGAGACCUCUCUUCCAGCUUGCAGACGGCUGCCUCCCUGUGGUGUGCUCACGGGGCCCGUCCUCAGUGCGAGCGUGUGGGGUGGGGAGAGAGGGAGAAAGGGAAACAGCUUUUCCUCUUGCUACAAGGCCACCAGUCCUUAUGACCUCAUCUCACCCUAAUUAUCUCCCAGAGGCCUGAUAGCUGAAUACCACCACAUGGGGGUGGGUAGAGCUUCAACACGCACAGUUUUGAGGGGACACAAUUCAGUCCAUAGCAGAUGAUGUUAAUAAUAUACUGGUUAAGUUUUAUUACUAGAUACUUGGAUUCAAGACCUAAUUUUGUCCUUUACUGACAAUGGAAAGUUUCUUUUUUUAAAUUUUGUGGUGAUCAUAAUCGCUACCAAAAAGGCUGCUUGUGAGAGUAAAGCUCCAUAAAGCACCUCACGUUGUGCAAAGCACCUGGCUACGAUUCAAUACAUGGUAGCUGUAAUUAUUAUUUUUUACUAGGAAUUUUUGAGGAAAGCUAUGUACUGCAGUGUUAUAAUAGUGUUCUUCUUAAAUGUAGAGAUGUUGGGGCUUCUGAAUACAUUCCUUAAAUAUCAACAGACUCUUUGGUCUGGAUGUCAUUUGACUAGUUACUGAAGCUCCUCCGUUCUGUGUUGAAGGAUAUAAAACUGUAUUUGCAUGCUCAUAUGCACAGAUACACAGUCAUGCAGAUUUGGGCAGAGGCUAUUUGACAGAUCUGUGUUUUUAUAAAACUUAGCAAUUAGUGUUUGUAACAACAAUUAUGGAUAAAAAUUAAAAAUAGUAAAUAUUUU
rnacentral:lncRNA from 1 species